rnacentral:rRNA from 1 species
UACGUAGGGACCGAGCGUUGUCCGGAUUCAUUGGGCGUAAAGAGCUCGUAGGCGGCUGUUCAAGUCGAACGUGAAAACUCGGAGCUCAACUCCGAGCCUGCGUUCGAUACUGGACGGCUAGAGUCUGGUAGGGGGAUCUGGAAUUCCUGGUGUAGCGGUGGAAUGCGCAGAUAUCAGGAGGAACACCGAUGGCGAAGGCAGGUCUCUGGGCAUUAACUGACGCUGAGGAGCGAAAGCAUGGGGAGCGAACAGG